rnacentral:rRNA from 1 species
GGUUCGUUACGUCGGAUGUGAAAAUCUGGGGCUCAACCCCAGACCUGCAUCCGAUACGGUCGAGCUAGAGUAUGGUAGGGGAGACUGGAAUUCCUGGUGUAGCGGUGGAAUGCGCAGAUAUCAGGAGGAACACCAAUGGCGAAGGCAGGUCUCUGGGCCAAUACUGACACUGAGGAGCGAAAGCGUGGGGAGCGAACAGGAUUAGAUACCCUGGUAGUCCACGCCGUAGACGGUGGGCGCUAGUUGUGGGAACCUUCCACGGUUUCUGCGACGCAGCUAACGCAUUAAGCGCCCCGCCUGGGGAGUACGAUCGCAAGAUUAAACUCAGAGGAAUUGACGGGGCCGCGCACAAGCAGCGGAGCAUGCGGCUUAAUUCGACGCAACGCGAAGAACCUUACCUAGGCUUGACAUAUACAGGCAUAUGGCAGAGAUGUCAUAGCGGUAAAACGUCUGUAUACAGGUGGUGCAUGGCUGUCGUCAGCUCGUGUCGUGAGAUGUUGCGUUAAGUCCCGCAACGAGCGCAACCCUCGUUCUGUGUUGUCAGCAUUUAGUUGGGGACUCACAGGAGACUGCCGGGGUUAACUCGGAGGAAGGUGGGGAUGACGUCAAAUCAUCAUGCCCCUUAUGUCUUGGGCUGCACGCAUGCUACAAUGGCUGGUACAAAGGGCUGCAAUACUGCAAAGUGGAGCGAAUCCCAAAAAGCCAGUCUCAGUUCGGAUUGGGGUCUGCAACUCGACCCCAUGAAGUCGGAGUUGCUAGU